rnacentral:rRNA from 1 species
AACGAACGCUGGCGGCAUGCCUAACACAUGCAAGUCGAACGAGACCUUCGGGUCUAGUGGCGCACGGGUGCGUAACGCGUGGGAAUCUGCCCUUGGGUUCGGAAUAACAGCGAGAAAUUGCUGCUAAUACCGGAUGAUGACGUAAGUCCAAAGAUUUAUCGCCCAAGGAUGAGCCCGCGUAGGAUUAGCUAGUUGGUGAGGUAAAAGGCUCACCAAGGCGACGAUCCUUAGCUGGUCUGAGAGGAUGAUCAGCCACACUGGGACUGAGACACGGCCCAGACUCCUACGGGAGGCAGCAGUGGGGAAUAUUGGACAAUGGGCGAAAGCCUGAUCCAGCAAUGCCGCGUGAGUGAUGAAGGCCUUAGGGUUGUAAAGCUCUUUUACCCGGGAUGAUAAUGACAGUACCGGGAGAAUAAGCUCCGGCUAACUCCGUGCCAGCAGCCGCGGU